rnacentral:rRNA from 1 species
GACGAACGCUGGCGGCGUGCCUAAUACAUGCCAGUCGAACGCUUCUUUCCUCCCGAGUGCUUGCACUCAAUUGGAAAGAGGAGUGGCGGACGGGUGAGUAACACGUGGGUAACCUACCCAUCAGAGGGGGAUAACACUUGGAAACAGGUGCUAAUACCGCAUAACAGUUUAUGCCGCAUGGCAUAAGAGUGAAAGGCGCUUUCGGGUGUCGCUGAUGGAUGGACCCGCGGUGCAUUAGCUAGUUGGUGAGGUAACGGCUCACCAAGGCCACGAUGCAUAGCCGACCUGAGAGGGUGAUCGGCCACACUGGGACUGAGACACGGCCCAGACUCCCACGGGAGGCAGCAGUAGGGAAUCUUCGGCAAUGGACGAAAGUCUGACCGAGCAACGCCGCGUGAGUGAAGAAGGUUUUCGGAUCGUAAAACUCUGUUGUUAGAGAAGAACAAGGACGUUAGUAACUGAACGUCCCCUGACGGUAUCUAACCAGAAAGCCACGGCUAACUACGUG